AUGCCCCCACGUGCUGGUGUGUGUGCCGGGUGUGCACGUGAGUCCCCCCACCCCCACCCCCACCCCCACCACGCGGUGCUGACCCCUGUCCUUUCUGAUUCCCCCAGGGCCUCACGGGAGAGGACGGUCUGUCUGGAGGCUGCACGUGGCCGGCUGCGGGGCAUGGCGCGACUCGGGGAGCCCGUGGGAGCCUGGCUGGCCCUGGCCCUGGCCCUGGCCCUGAGUCCCGGCGGUGCAGCAGCCCCGGGGCAGGACUGCACGGGCGUCGAGUGCCCCCCGCUUGAGAACUGCAUCGAGGACGCGCUCGAGCCGGGGGCCUGCUGCGCCACGUGCGUGCAGCAGGGCUGUGCCUGCGAGGGCUACCAGUACUAUGACUGCUUGCAGGGCGGCUUCAUGCGCGGCCGCGUGCCCGCCGGCCAGUCCUACUUCGUGGACUUCGGCAGCACCGAGUGCUCCUGCCCGCCGGGCGGUGGCAAGAUCAGCUGCCAGUUCAUGCCCUGCCCGGAGCUGCCGCCCAACUGCAUCGAGGCCGUGGUGGCGGCCGACAGCUGCCCACAGUGCGGCCAGGUGGGCUGCGUCCACUCCGGCCGCAAGUACGCCGCCGGCCACACUGUCCGCCUGGCGCCCUGCCGGGCCUGCCACUGCCCCGACGCGGGCGGCGAGCUCAUCUGCUACCCGCUGCCCAGCUGCCACGGAGAUGCCACCCCCGGAAACACCUCGGACGCCGAGGAGGGCGACCCUGAGCGGCACUACGAGGACCCCUACAGCUACGACCAGGAGGUGGCCGAGGCGGAGGCCCUGGCGGGCGAGCUCCAGGCGGGCGCUGGGGGCCCGGCCGCUCUGGGAGGCGGGGGUCAGCCACCUUCAGCCCUCCAGGCCACUCUCUGGCCGGCCGCCCUCCCCAGGCCCACGGCAGCCGCCGCUCUGGGUCCCCCGGCCCCCGUGCAGGCCAAAGCCAGGAGAGUGACGGACAACGGUCAGGAAGACAGGGAGGCGCCGGCCAUCCGGGAGCAGCUGGCCGCAGGCGGCCCCCGGGGGCUGGAUGGACGGCCCACGGCAGGCCCGAUGCCGGCUCACCCUGUCCGGGAGGAGGGGGCCGAGGCCAGGGCCGGGGUGGAAGAGAACCUCAUCCCCGACGUGCAGGCCACGCACCGCAGUGCCGGGCCCCCUCCCACGCUCAGCGUGCCCAGCAUCCUCCUGACCGAGACCACGCAGGGCCCCCCCACAGACCCCACCGAGCCCAGUGCCCCUGCCGCCCUGACCACACUUCAGCGGGAGAUCCCCCGCGCCCCGCCCACCCAGGAAGUGCCCCAGCAGCCGGCCGGGCCCCGGUCCCGGCUGGAGGAGGAGGAGGACCCCAACUCCGUGCACUCUGUCCCGAGAGGCGGCCUGGAAGUGUCCACGAAGGACCUGAUCGAGACGUGCUGCGCAGCCGGGCAGCAGUGGGCCAUCGACAGCGACGAGUGCCUGGACAUCCCCGAGAGCAGCGCCGAGGGCGACGUGUGCAGGACGGCCCAGAAGCACUGCUGCGUGUCCUACUUGAAGGAGAAGAGCUGCAUGGCUGGCGUGCUGGGCGCCAAGGAGGGCGAGGCCUGCGGGGACGAGGACAACGACACCUGCGGCGUCUCCCUGUACAAGCAAUGCUGUGACUGCUGCGGCCUGGGGCUCCGCGUGCGGGCUGAGGGCCAGUCCUGUGAGUCCAACCCCAACCUCGGCUACCCCUGCAACCACGUCAUGCUCUCCUGCUGUGAGGGUGAAGACCCCCUCAUUGUGCCCGAGGUCCGCCGGCCUCCAGAGCCUGAGGCCGCACCACGGAGAGUUUCAGAGGCAGAGUUGGCGAGCCGGGAGGCCCUGUCGCUGGGCACGGAGACCGAGCUGCCCAACAGCCUGCCGGGCGACGACCAGGACGAGUGCCUGCUCCUCCCGGGGGAGCUGUGCCAGCACCUGUGCAUCAACACGGUGGGCUCCUACCGCUGCGCCUGCUUCCCCGGCUUCUCGCUGCAGGAUGACGGCCGCACCUGCCGCCCAGAUGGCGGCCCCUCCAAGCCGGAGGCCACAGAGGAGUCUGCGCAGAGGCCCGAGUCCUCCCAGGAGGCCCCCAACACCAUCUCAUUGUCCGUGCCGCAUCCCAACAUCUGCCAAGACAACGGGCCCUGCAAGCAGGUCUGCAGGGUCGUCGGGGACGCGGCCGUGUGCUCCUGCUUGCCCGGCUUUGCCAUCAUGGCGGACGGCGUGUCCUGUGAAGAUGUGGACGAGUGUGAGCUGGGCACACACAACUGCCCGGCGGGCGCCGUGUGCCGCAACACCGAGGGCUCCUUUCACUGCCAGGCUCGGGAGCGCUGCCUGGAGGGCUUCCUGCAGGACCCCGAGGGCAACUGCGUGGACAUCAAUGAGUGCACGUCUCUCUCCGAGCCGUGUCGGUCCGGCUUCAACUGCAUCAACACGGUGGGCUCCUACACGUGCAGACGGAGCCUGGUGAUCUGUGGACGUGGCUACCACGCCAGCGAGGACGGGACCAAGUGUGUGGACGUGAACGAGUGUGAGACGGGUGUGCACCGCUGCGGCGAAGGCCAGACGUGCCACAACCUCCCCGGCUCCUACCGCUGCGACUGCAAGCCUGGCUUCCAGCGGGACGCCUUCGGCCGCGCCUGCAUCGACGUGAACGAGUGCUGGACAUCACCCACGCGUGUCUGCCAGCACACGUGCGAGAACACGCUGGGCUCCUACCGCUGUUCCUGCGCCUCCGGCUUCCUGCUGGCGGCCGACGGCAAGCACUGUGAAGAUGUGAACGAGUGUGAGGCCCAGCGCUGCAGCCAGGAAUGCGCCAACAUCUACGGCUCCUACCAGUGCUACUGCAGGCACGGCUACCAGCUGGCCGAGGACGGGCACACCUGCACAGACAUUGACGAGUGCACCCAGGGCGCCGGUGUCCUCUGCACCUUCCAGUGCAUCAACGUGCCAGGGAGCUACCAGUGUGCAUGCCCGGAGCCCGGCUACACCAUUACGGCCAACGGCAGGUCCUGCAAGGACCUGGACGAGUGCGUGCUGGGCACCCACAACUGCUCCGAGGGUGAGACCUGCCAUAACGUCAAGGGCGGCUUCCGCUGCCUGCGCUUCGACUGCCCUCCGAACUACGUCCGAGUCUCCGAAAUGAAAUGCGAGCGCACGCAGUGCCACGACUUCCUGGAGUGCCAGAACGCGCCCGCGCGCAUCACGCACUACCUGCUCAACUUCCAGACCGGGCUGCUGGUGCCCGCGCACAUCUUCCGCAUCAGCCCCGCGCCCGUCUUCGCCGGCGACACCAUCGCGCUGACCAUCACCAGGGGCAACGAGGAGGGCUACUUCGGCACGCGCCGCCUCAACGCCUACACGGGCGUGGUCUUCCUGCAGCGCGCCGUGCGCGAGCCGCGCGACUUCGCGCUGGACGUGGAGAUGAAGCUCUGGCGGCAGGGCUCCGUCACCACCUUCCUGGCCAAGAUGCACAUCUUCUUCACCACCUUCGCCCUGUGAGGCGGCGCCCGCCGUGGGCAGCGCGUGGAGCCCGGGUCCCCCCGCUGGUCCGGCGCCCUGGCCGCGCGCCCGCCUCCACGCUCCCGCCGGCCGCGUGGGGGACCGGCGCUGUGGCCG
rnacentral:lncRNA from 1 species